GGAUUGUAGUCUGCAACUCGACACAUGAAGCUGGAAUCGCUAGUAAUCGCGAAUCAGAAUGUCGCGGUGAAUACGUUCCCGGGUCUUGUACACACCGCCCGUCACACCAUGGGAGUCAGUAACGCCCGAAGUCAGUGACCCAACCUUAUGGAGGGAGCUGCCGAAGGCGGGACCGAUAACUGGGGUGAAGUCGUAACAAGGUAUC
rnacentral:rRNA from 1 species